rnacentral:rRNA from 1 species
GAUGAACGCUGGCGGCGCGCCUAACACAUGCAAGUCGAACGAUUAAAGCACCUUCGGGUGUGUAUAAAGUGGCGAACGGCUGAGUAACACGUGGGCAACCUGCCCCUUUCAUUGGGAUAGCCACGGGAAACCGUGGAUAAUACCGAAUACUUCGAGACUUCCGCAUGGAAGACUCGAGAAAGCUCCGGCGGAGAGGGAUGGGCCCGCGGCCUGUUAGCUUGUUGGUGGGGUAACGGCCUACCAAGGCAAUGAUGGGUAGCUGGGUUGAGAGACCGACCGGCCAGAUUGGGACUGAGACACGGCCCAGACUCCUACGGGAGGCAGCAGUGGGGAAUCUUGCACAAUGGGCGAAAGCCUGAUGCAGCGACGCCGCGUGCGGGAUGAAGGCCUUCGGGUUGUAAACCGCUUUCAGCAGGGACGAGGCGAAAGUGACGGUACCUGCAGAAGAAGCCCCGGCUAACUACGUG